UGGUGUGGGCAGCGGCGUAACCGGAGUUGGCGGCUGGGUCGCGACCACGCUGGGUCAUGGGGCCGUGACCCACGCUGGCCUGAGACUCGCGUGGGUCUGCAGACCCACGCUGGGUCAGGAAGACCCACGUCGGCCUGAGACCCGCGUGGGUCUGCAGACCCACGCCGGCCUGAGACACUCGUGGGUCUCAGGCCGGACUCCUGUCAAAUCUGCUCCACCUCAAUUGGGAUCUCUUAUAUUUGUUGAGCCUGUUGAUGCAUGGUUAUGGACAAAUAACAAUUGAUACAAAGCAAGGCCUUUUUGCCUCAGAAGCAAGGUGUUCAGGUCUCAGAUGAAGCUCCGAUGAAGCUCUCAUUUUCACUUUAACUCUCACCCUUUCUCUCUCCCUCUCAAAAUCUAGUGUUUUUGUUUUAGAAAAUUUGUGUGCAAUUUUUUUACUUUAGAUGAGGUGUCUUAUUUCUAUUGGGUGGCAGAAAACUCAUGUUUUCUGCCACGACCGAAUGGAAGAUAUCCCCAUUUAAAAAUAGGAGCCGCUUUGUAGAAAAGCCUCAUUCAAGCUAUUCUUGAAAGACGGCAAUCGUAGAUGAAAACGACACAAAAAUCCCAAAAGGCAAGCCUUAUUUUUGUGGAGGGUAAAUCGGGUAUCAAAUAGUAAAAAGAAAAACGGAGUUCCGAGCAACGAAGAUGUGAUGUAAUGCAGACAGAGGAAGGAGAAAGCGAGGGAAAGAUGGCAGAGCCUAAACAGGCACUCAUCAAGGAGAUAAGAAGCCACGAGGUUGCCAUUGCUGAGCUCAAUAAUCUUUCUUCAUCCAGGGCUGUCUAUCAAAAAAAUGGGAAUAUAUUCUUCCGGACAACCAUUCAAAAGGCAACUGCAUCUGAAGAGAAACAACUUGAUUUGGCCAAAGCCAAGCAUGAAAAGCUGGAAUCUCCUUGAAGCGACGCUGGUUGCUAUGUCUUCAACCUUUCUGGCCUCAAAAGCUUUUAACUAAUUAAAUACGAGAAGGCAUUCAACUGAGAUUGGUCUCUUUUAGUACUGUGAUGUUUUUAGAAGGUCAUGAGAUUUGUAAAGAACUAUUUCUCUACCGCAUCGGCUCAACAGUCUGACGUUUGAGUGCUCAUUUUAUUACUUUAACGGUGCACUUUUUUACCUUU